rnacentral:rRNA from 1 species
GCCCUACGGGGCGCAGCAGGCGCGAAACCUCUGCAAUGCGGGAAACCGUGACAGGGGGAUCCCAAGUGCUCAUGCAUUGCAUGGGCUGUUCUUUGGUCUAAGUAACCAGAGGAGUAAGGGCUGGGCAAGACCGGUGCCAGCCGCCGCGGUAAUACCGGCAGCUCAAGUGGUAGCCGCGAUUAUUGGGCCUAAAACGUUCGUAGCCGGAUAAGUAAGUCUUUGGUUAAAUCCUGCGACUCAACCGUGGGAAUUCUAGAGAUACUGCUCGUCUUGAGACCGGGAGAGGUUGGAGGUACUCCUAGGGUAGGGGUGAAAUCCUGUAAUCCUAGGGGGACCACCUGUGGCGAAGGCGUCCAACUGGAACGGGUCUGACGGUGAGGGACGAAACCUAGGGGAGCGAGCCGGAUUAGAUACCCGGGUAGUCCUAGGCGUAAGUGAUGUGAGUUAAGUGUGGGGGCAUCUACGAGAUGGCCCUGUGCUGUAGGGUAGCCGUUAAACUCGCUGCCUGGGGAGUACGGUCGCAAGGCUGAAACUUAAAGGAAUUGGCGGGGGAGCACCACAAGAGGUGGAGGCUGCGGUUCAAUUGGACUCAACGCCGGAAAACUCAUCG